UGCCUCAAUGUUUUCCUGAGUUCUUGCGGC
rnacentral:piRNA from 1 species